CCUACGGGUGGCAGCAGUGAGGAAUAUUGGUCAAUGGGCGCAAGCCUGAACCAGCCAAGUCGCGUGAGGGAUGACGGUCCUAUGGAUUGUAAACCUCUUUUGUCGGGGAGCAAGGCCCGCCACGUGUGGCGCGCAGGAGAGUACCCGAAGACAAAGCAUCGGCUAACUCCGUACCAGCAGCCGCGGUAAUACGGAGGAUGCGAGCGUUAUCCGGAUUUAUUGGGUUUAAAGGGUGCGUAGGCGGAAGGUUAAGUCAGCGGUAAAAUGUCGGUGCUCAACACCGGCCUGCCGUUGAAACUGGUCUUCUUGAGUGAGCGAGAAGUAUGCGGAAUGCGUGGUGUAGCGGUGAAAUGCAUAGAUAUCACGCAGAACUCCGAUUGCGAAGGCAGCAUACCGGCGCUCAACUGACGCUGAGGCACGAAAGCGUGGGGAUCGAACAGGAUUAGAUACCCUUGUAGUC
rnacentral:rRNA from 1 species